rnacentral:rRNA from 1 species
CUUGGUCCUCAUUUAGAGGAAGUAAAAGUCGUAACAAGGUCUCCGUUGGUGAACCAGCGGAGGGAUCAUUACCGAGUUUACAACUCCCAAACCCAAUGUGAACGUUACCAAACUGUUGCCUCGGCGGGGUCACGCCCCGGGUGCGUAAAAGCCCCGGAACCAGGCGCCCGCCGGAGGAACCAACCAAACUCUUUCUGUAGUCCCCUCGCGGACGUAUUUCUUACAGCUCUGAGCAAAAAUUCAAAAUGAAUCAAAACUUUCAACAACGGAUCUCUUGGUUCUGGCAUCGAUGAAGAACGCAGCGAAAUGCGAUAAGUAAUGUGAAUUGCAGAAUUCAGUGAAUCAUCGAAUCUUUGAACGCACAUUGCGCCCGCCAGUAUUCUGGCGGGCAUGCCUGUCCGAGCGUCAUUUCAACCCUCGAACCCCUCCGGGGGGUCGGCGUUGGGGAUCGGGACCCCUCACCGGGUGCCGGCCCUGAAAUACAGUGGCGGUCUCGCCGCAGCCUCUCCUGCGCAGUAGUUUGCACAACUCGCACCGGGAGCGCGGCGCGUCCACGUCCGUAAAACACCCAACUUCUGAAAUGUUGACCUCGGAUCAGGUAGGAAUACCCGCUGAACUUAAGCAUAUCAAAGGCCGGAAGGA